GAGGGUAUAGCUCAGUGGUAGAGCACAUGCUUAGCAUGUGUAAGGUCCUGGGUUCAAUCCUCAGUACCUCCA
rnacentral:tRNA from 1 species